AUUGAACGCUGGCGGCAUGCUUUACACAUGCAAGUCGAACGGUAACAGGGUGCUUGCACCGCUGACGAGUGGCGAACGGGUGAGUAAUGCGUCGGAACGUGCCGAGUAGUGGGGGAUAACGCAGCGAAAGUUGUGCUAAUACCGCAUACGUACUGAGGUAGAAAGUGGGGGACCUUCGGGCCUCACGCUAUUCGAGCGGCCGACGUCUGAUUAGCUAGUAGGUGAGGUAAAGGCUCACCUAGGCGACGAUCAGUAGCGGGUCUGAGAGGAUGAUCCGCCACACGGGGACGCGGACGCGGCCCAGCAUCCUACGGGAGGCAACAGUGGGGAAUUUUGGACAAUGGGCGAAAGCCUGAUCCAGCCAUGCCGAGUGUCUGAAGAAGGCCUUCGGGUUGUAAAGGACUUUUGUCAGGGAGGAAAUCCCUAGUGCUAAUAACACUGGGGGAUGACAGUACCUGAAGAAUAAGCACCGGCUAACUACGUGCCAGCAGCCGCCGUAA
rnacentral:rRNA from 1 species